rnacentral:rRNA from 1 species
AGAGUUUGAUCCUGGCUCAGGACGAACGCUGGCGGCGUGCUUAACACAUGCAAGUCGAACGAUGAAGUGGAGCUUGCUCCACGGAUUAGUGGCGAACGGGUGAGGAACACGUGAGAAACCUGCCUCGGAUUUUGGGAUAACAAAUGGAAACGUUUGCUAAUACCAAAUAACGUCGGAGAGUCACAUGGCUUUCUGACGAAAGGAAUUCCGAUUCGAGAGGGUCUCGCGGCCUAUCAGCUAGUUGGCGGGGUAAUGGCCCACCAAGGCAACGACGGGUAGCUGGUCUGAGAGGAUGGUCAGCCACACUGGGACUGAGACACGGCCCAGACUCCUACGGGAGGCAGCAGUGGGGAAUCUUGCGCAAUGGGCGAAAGCCUGACGCAGCAACGCCGCGUGCGGGAAGAAGGCUUUCGGGCUGUAAACCGCUUUCAGCAGGAACGAAAAUGACGGUACCUGCAGAAGAAGGAGCGGCCAACUAUGUGCCAGCAGCCGCGGUGAUACAUAGGCUUCAAGCGUUGUCCGGAUUUAUUGGGCGUAAAGAGUUCGUAGGCGGUCGAGUAAGUCGGGUGUGAAAAUUCUGGGCUCAACCCAGAAACGCCACCCGAUACUGCUUAACUUGAGUUCGAUAGGGGAGUGGGGAAUUCCUAGUGUAGCGGUGAAAUGCGCAGAUAUUAGGAGGAACACCGGUGGCGAAGGCGCCACUCUGGACUGAAACUGACGCUGAGGAGCGAAAGCAUGGGUAGCAAACAGGAUUAGAUACCCUGGUAGUCCAUGCCGU